CAGCAGCCGCGGUAAUACGAAGGGUGCAAGCGUUAAUCGGAAUUACUGGGCGUAGAGCGUGCGUAGGCGGUUUGUUAAGUCUGUUGUGAAAUCCCCGAGCUCAACCUGGGAAUGGCAAUGGAUACUGGCAAGCUAGAGUGUGUCAGAGGAUGGUGGAAUUCCCGGUGUAGCGGUGAAAUGCGUAGAGAUCGGGAGGAACACCAGUGGCGAAGGCGGCCAUCUGGGACAACACUGACGCUGAGGCACGAAAGCGUGGGGAGCAAACAGGAUUAGAUACCCCCGUAGUCCCUGUCUCUUAUAC
rnacentral:rRNA from 1 species